UAUCCUAACCGUGCAAAGGUAGCGCAAUCACUUGUCCCCUAAAUAGUGACUAGUAUGAACGGCCAUACGAGAAUAAACCUGUCUCUUUUGACAAAUCAGUGAAACUGAUCUUCCAGUACAAAAGCUGGAAUAUCAACAUAAGACGAAAAGACCCUGUGGAGCUUCAAUAUCACUCUACCCCCAUUAGCACAAAUAUUUUAGUUGGGGCAACUUCGGAACAAAACUAAACUUCCGAGCAUGCUCCGGAAACACCGUUAUCAAGACAAACAUGUCAAAACCCGAGCCAGAUCCAGUAACCCACUGACCAACGAACCAAGUUACCCCAGGGAUAACAGCGCCAUCUUCUUCUAGAGCCCCCAUCGACAAGAAGGUUUACGACCUCGAUGUUGGAUCAGGACACCCCAGCAGCGCAGCCGCUACUA
rnacentral:rRNA from 1 species